AUACUUACCUGGCAGGGGAGACACCAUGAUCAAGAAGGCGGUUCACCCAGGGCGAGGCUUGUCCAUUGCACUCCGGCCAUGCUGACCCCUGCGAAUUCCUCAAAUGCGGGAAUCUCGACUGCAUAAUUUAUGGUAGUGGGGGACUGCGUUCGCGCUCUCCCCUG
rnacentral:snRNA from 1 species